rnacentral:rRNA from 1 species
UUCCUACGGGUGGCAGCAGUGGGGAAUCUUGGACAAUGGGCGCAAGCCUGAUCCAGCCAUGCCGCGUGGAUGAUGAAGGCCCUAGGGUUGUAAAAUCCUUUCGUUGGGGACGAUAAUGACGGUACCCAAAGAAGAAGCUCCGGCUAACUUCGUGCCAGCAGCCGCGGUAAUACGAAGGGGGCUAGCGUUGUUCGGAUUUACUGGGCGUAAAGCGCGUGUAGGCGGGUCGUUAAGUUGGGGGUGAAAUCCCGAGGCUCAACCUCGGAACUGCCCUCAAAACUGGCGACCUGGAGCAAGAUAGAGGCAAGUGGAAUUGCGAGUGUAGAGGUGAAAUUCGUAGAUAUUCGCAGGAACACCAGUGGCGAAGGCGACUUGCUGGAUCUUUGCUGACGCUGAGACGCGAAAGCGUGGGGAGCAAACAGGAUUAGAUACCCCAGUAGUCCU